GACGAACGCUGGCGGCGUGCUUAACACAUGCAAGUCGAACGGAAAGGCCCUGCUUUUGUGGGGUGCUCGAGUGGCGAAAGGGUGAGUAACACGUGAGUAACCUGCCCUUGACUUUGGGAUAACUUCAGGAAACUGGGGCUAAUACCGGAUAGGAGCUCCUGCUGCAUGGUGGGGGUUGGAAAGUUUCGGCGGUUGGGGAUGGACUCGCGGCUUGUCAGCUUGUUGGUGGGGUAGUGGCUUACCAAGGCUUUGACGGGUAGCCGGCCUGAGAGGGUGACCGGCCACAUUGGGACUGAGAUGCGGCCCAGACUCCUACGGGAGGGAGGAGAGGGGUAUAGUGUACAAUGGGCGGAAGCCUGAUGCAGCAACGCCGCGUGGGGGAUGACGGCCAUCGGGUUGUAUACCGCUUCCGCCUGUGACGAAGCGUGAGUGACGGUAAUGGGUAAAGAAGCACCGGCUAACUACGUG
rnacentral:rRNA from 1 species